UACGGGGGGAGCAAGCGUUGUUCGGAUUUACUGGGCGUAAAGGGCGCGUAGGCGGCUUGGCAAGUGGAUGGUGAAAUCCCUCGGCUUAACCGAGGAACUGCCGUCCAAACUGCUUCGCUUGAGACCGGGAGAGGUGAGUGGAAUUCCUGGUGUAGCGGUGAAAUGCGCAGAUAUCAGGAGGAACACCGGUGGCGAAGGCGGGUCUCUGGGCCGUAACUGACGCUGAGGAGCGAAAGCGUGGGGAGCGAACAGG
rnacentral:rRNA from 1 species